rnacentral:misc_RNA from 1 species
UCCGCCUUAUCGACGGCGGUCUCCCUAGAGUGCCCAACUUAACUUGCUGGCAACUAGGGACAAGGGUUGCGCUCGUUGCGGGACUUAACCCAACAUCUCACGACACGAGCUGACGACAGCCAUGCAGCACCUGUGCACCGACCCCGAAGGGAGGGUGUGUUUCCACACCUGUCCAGUGCAUGUCAAACCUGGGUAAGGUUCUUCGCGUUGCAUCGAAUUAAACCACAUGCUCCACCGCUUGUGCGGGCCCCCGUCAAUUCCUUUGAGUUUCAACCUUGCGGUCGUACUCCCCAGGCGGGGCACUUAAUGCGUUAGCUACGGCACAGGAGGGGUCGAUGCCUCCUACACCUAGUGCCCACCGUUUACGGCUAGGACUAC